ACAGCAGCCGCCGCGGGAAUACGAAGGGUGCAAGCGUUACUCGGAAUUACUGGGCGUAAAGCGUGCGUAGGUGGUGGUUUAAGUCCGUUGUGAAAGCCCUGGGCUCAACCUGGGAAUUGCAGUGGAUACUGGGUCACUAGAGUGUGGUAGAGGAUAGUGGAAUUUCCGGUGUAGCAGUGAAAUGCGUAGAGAUCGGAAGGAACAUCUGUGGCGAAGGCGACUAUCUGGGCCAACACUGACACUGAGGCACGAAAGCGUGGGGAGCAAACAGGAUUAGAUACCCGGGUAGUCCCUGUCUCUUAUAC
rnacentral:rRNA from 1 species